UACGUAGGAGGCGAGCGUUGUCCGGAGUUACUGGGCGUAAAGGGUGCGUAGGCGGCCGCGCGCGUGGGGGGGUGAAAUCUCUCGGCUUACCCGGGAGGGGGGCUUUCCAGACGGCGUGGCUUGAGGGACGGAGAGGGGCGUGGAAUUCCGGGUGGAGCGGUGAAAUGCGUAGAGAUCCGGGAGGAACACCGACGGCGUAGGCAGCGCCCCUGGCCGUUUCCUGACGCUGAAGCACGAAAGCUGGGGGGAGCAAACAGG
rnacentral:rRNA from 1 species